rnacentral:ribozyme from 14 species
AACUUUUCUUUCUUCUUCUUCUUUUUCUUCUUCUUCUUCUUCUUUGACGGUGUGAUUGGUAUUGUUUCCAUAUCCACAACAUUUGAUGUUCCCUUCGUGGCAUAUGCAGAUGACAAUGUAAUAUAUUGUACCUUUUCUGACUCUUUUUUCAAAUCAGAUUCCAAGAGAGACGAUGAACAAGACAAAUCUCGCAUUCCUUCGCAACUU